rnacentral:lncRNA from 1 species
GUGAAGCUGGCUGGGCUUCUGGGCCAGGUGGGGACUUGGAGAACUUUUCUGUCUAGCUACAGGUUUGUAAACACACCAAUCAGCACUCUGUAAAAAUGCACCAAUCAGUGCUCUGUGUCUAGCUAAGUUUGUAAAUGCACCAAUCAGCACUCUGAAAAAUGGACCAAUCAUUGCUCUGUAAAAUGAACCAAUCAACAGUACAUGGGCGGGGCCAAAUAAGGGAAUGAAAGUCGACUACCCAAGCCAGCGGCCGCAACUUGCUCAGGUUUCUUUACACGCUGUGGGAGCUUUGUUCUUUUGCUCUACACAAUAAAUCUUGCUGCUGCUCACUCUUUGGGUCUGCACUACUUUUAUGAGCUGUAACACUCACCGCGAAGGUCUGUAGCUUCACUCCUGAAGUCAAACGAGACCACAAACCCACCCAAAGGAAGAAACUCCGGACACAUCUGAACAUCUGAAGGAACAAACUCUGGACACACCAUCCUUAAGAACUGUAACAUUCACUGCGAGGCUUCAUUCUUGAAGUAAGCUAGACCAAGAACCCACCAGAAGGAACCAAUUCCAGAUACACUAGUUCCUAGAUCCUGUUUCUCUGGAGAGGCCUAAUACAUAGACAAAGCCAAAUGACUUUUUCCCCUCUCUGAACUUUGAUGUUCUUUAAACAUUUCCAGCUGGUUCUUUUAAUAUUUCUUGAAUAUUUCCUGGGAUUUUUUUGGUAAAUACUGUAUUUCACCAGCUACUCCUUCAAGAACAUAGUUGUCAUAUACUUUAUUAUCCAUCAAGAUUAUCAGUGAACACGCAGUUCAUUUGUCAAAAUGACUCUAAAUUCAUGAUAUUCGGAUGAUCACACUCCACAAUACUGUCACCAGAGCCAAGUUAUUGGAGUUAUUACUUUUUAUGAUCAGCACAAUUGUGUUUCUAUUAAAGAAUUAUUAGUAUUAAAAGGGCCACAAUAGACUAUUUGCUACUGAAUGAUUGUUGGUUACUACUUAAUUUAAAAAAAAAAAAAAGUUUUUUAUAGCUACUUAACUCCAAGUUCCAUCUUUUCCAUUUCUAGAAGUACAUAAGCCUUUUCUUUAAAAUAACACAUUUUUCUGAAGUAGAACAUGAUUAUUGUUAAGAAAUAUAAAAAUGGCCUUUAAUCUCACCAUUUAAGAUGGAAAGCUUUUCAUUUUUUCUAUGAAUGUAUGUUUCAUAAAUUUAUAUGAGAGAAUAUAAAAUGUGUGAUAUUCUUGUUUUAUUCUUAAGUAAUAUUGGUCUAUUGGGCUAUAUUAUCAUAAGUUUUUAUUUUCUUGUUUUUUGUUUUGUUUUGUUUUGGUUUGGAGACAGAGUUUCACUCUUUUUGCCCAGUCUAGAGUGCAACAGCUCAAUCUCAGCUCACUGCAACCUCUGCCUCCCUCCUGCCUCCCUCCUGCCUCAGCCUCCCAUGUAGCUGGGAUUACAGGCGCCUACCACUAUGACUGACUAAUCUUUUGUAUUUUAGUAAAGACGGAGUUUCACCAUUUUGGCCAGUAUGAUCUUGAUCUCUUGACUUCGUGAUCCACCCGCCUCAGCCUCCCAAAGUGCUGGGAUUACAGGUGUGAGCCACCACGCCCAGCCUAUAAUAGGUUUUUCAAAAACGGGUAUUUGUGGCUAAAUAAUAGUUCUGGGUACAUUGAUUAAUACUAGCUUUUCACUAUUAUUAGAUAUAUAUGAUAUAUAGUAACAAAACAAAAUGAAUUUACUGUGCUUGCAUUGUUAUCAUUAUUGUGGAUUAAAUCCCUUUGGUAAAAAUUAUCAAACAUUAUUGCUGGCUUGUAAGGAAAUUAAGAAAACUCUUGAUAGUGUAUAUUUAUUUUGUGACUAGCCACUUUAAUUAGUGAUCCUAAUUAUUUUUUAUUUUCCAGUUGAUUCUCCCGUGCCUCAGGGAAAAAAAUAAAAUAAUUUACAAAGAAUAAUGUUUUAUAAACUUGUUUCAAUUCCUGUGCUACUUUUAUGUUUUUUGUUUUAUUGUGCUGGUUAAAGUUUAUGAGAUAUUAUAAUAAGAGAGGGUGUCCUUGAAAUGAUCUGAAGUUUGAGGAAAUGCUUGCCAUAUAAUGCAUUUCUUCAUCCUUGAAUCUUUUUUAUUUUCUGGUGGAAUAUUAAACCCUUAUAUGUAUUAUUAUUUUUAAUCCAAAGAAAAUAUACCUUGUUUCUUGGAUGACUGACUCUGUUUCCUGAGGGAAUUGUUUCACAUCCACCCUCACCCCCACCGUUUGAAGAUCUAUCAUCCCUUCUUUUUUGGUUCACCUUUUCUUGCACACAUAUCUAUGAUUCGCCUUUGAGUUUUUACCUCUGUGGUUUUUGUCUGUAUUUUAGAAGUUCCUUAUAUAUUCCACUUCAUAAUUUUAAACAGAAUUCACUUUGCUUAAUCUUGUGUCCUCAACAUCCAGAAUAGGGCCUGUUGUACAUCAGAGUCAAGCUCUAUGUGUUCAGUGUUAUUGGUGCCCUCUGUCAUAUGCAAUGGAGUCUCUCACUCCCACAGCUUAGGAUUCCUGCAAAUUUUACUUCAUCUUAACCAGCUUCAUUUUCUUCCAUUUCCAUUUAUUUUGCUAUAGUUGAGGCAGACGUUUUUGACAUGUUUACCUCAUCUUUCUUUUCUCAUUAUGGCUGACUUUCUUCACUUCAUGUGAAGAAAGGAAGGUAGGAAGUAGCGGUCAAAGUUUUCUUAUAGUUCCUGCACCAUCCUAAAAGGUAAGUGGAAGAACACAAAGUUGAUGUUCUCGUUUCCCUUUCAAAGGUCCCAUGUUUAUUUAUUUCAUUCAUAGGCCCCAUAUUUGGUAAAUGAAAGGGGUAUGGCAUGCCUUUUACCUUACUCAGUGUAUCUUUUUAGGUUAACCACUGGCAGGAGAAAUGGAGCGUGGCAGAUUAAUGUAGCAACCAGCUCAGUUGGCAGUUUUGCUGUGCCUCUGUUAAACUGAGUGUAUCUUUUCUACUAUCCUCAUUAUUUGUUUUUUGGAUUCUCUGAACUAUGGCAUCCUUGAUCAUCUUUAAUUCAUACAAUGCGGGCUCUCAGUAGUUUGGCCUUCUUGUUUCAGACCACCACACAUUACUGGUGGAAACGACACCUUAGACUGGAUGCAAUCACCACUGGCUAACUUCAUUUCUGACCUUUGUUUCCAGAAAUUUGCCAUGUCCACAUGGAUUUAAAAAUUACAGGAGAUAGAUGCAGCACAUAAUCACUGCUCUGGCCAUUCCAAAAGCAUGCUAUAGGAAGUGGCAGCAUUUGGUUGGUAUCAAAGCUGGGACUCUGGGACUGAAAGUAUGCAAUGGUAAAGAAACAAAAUUAAUACCAUUUUUGAGGCUGACAGUGCCAUUAUAUUUCAUAAAAUGAAACAUGAAUGUAUUUUCUAUAUUCAGGCCCAUGACUUUAUGGUUAAGGUAAAUACUCCAAAGAUUCUGAUUAUAAUAUUUCCGUAAGGUAUAGUUUUUGAUGUUCUGUAAGUUGGUAAGUUUUUGAAAAGUUUAUUAGAUAUUUAAGCAGGGAGUCUACAAGGCUGUAUGGAAGGGGCUAUUUAAACCAGAAGCCUGCACUUCUGUUCAUUUUCACUCACUCAUUCCUUUUAAACUUAUUUUUCUAAUUACCCAAGUUAAAAAAAAAAAACAAAUAUGGUACAAUGUGAGAAACGUAUAAACUAGAACAUUAAAGUUUCUAAAUUUCUCAUUCUCUAGGGUGACCAUUGUUAAUUUGGUAUCUCCCUUGACAGAUUUUUAUUUCUGUGCAUGCACAGCAACAUUUUCCAAAGUGAAAUAGGAGUACCAGACCAGACACAUUCCAAGGAAUUAUGCAAAAAAAAAAAAAAAAA